rnacentral:rRNA from 1 species
AGCGAACGCUGGCGGCAUGCCUAACACAUGCAAGUCUGACGGGCCUGGGGCUUGCUCCGGGUCAGUGGCGGACGGGUGAGGAACGCGUAGGAACGUAUCCAAGGGGUGGGGAGUAACCGCGGGAAACGUGCGGCUAAUACCGCAUGGGGCCGUCAAGGGAGGACCUGGGGGCCGAAAGGCUGAGGGAAACCGUUGGUCGCCGAUGGAGCGGCCUGCGUCCGAUUAGCUAGUU